rnacentral:rRNA from 1 species
UACGAAGGGGGCUAGCGUUGCUCGGAAUCACUGGGCGUAAAGCGCACGUAGGCGGAUUGUUAAGUCAGGGGUGAAAUCCCGGGGCUCAACCCCGGAACUGCCUUUGAUACUGGUAGUCUCGAGUCCGGAAGAGGUGAGUGGAAUUCCGAGUGUAGAGGUGAAAUUCGUAGAUAUGUGGAGGAACACCAGUGGCGAAGGCGACUCUUUGGUCUGUAACUGACGCUGAGGCGCGAAAGCGUGGGGAGCAAACAGG